AACCUAGCACACCUGCGGUGUGUACCUGCGGAGGGAUCAUUAACGAAUGGUCUCCGUACCUUCAAACCCCUCAAACCAGUGGACAUUUUAAAAUGUGCUUCGGCGCUCCUGCGCCGCCUUUAUGCUGUAAAUCUGUCGUUUGUGUCUGAAUACAAACCAAAAGAAUCAAAACUUUUAACAACGGAUCU
rnacentral:misc_RNA from 1 species